UAACAAACUGAUUUUGAAUUUCGUGGAUAUACUAUCCUUUCGGUGUGAUCGAGUUCAAGGACUCGCGACUAACUUGUUCCAGUUUCGAAUGCAGCAGCACCAAAUAAAAAUUGCCAAUGUGACCAGUGAAAUAGGAUAUCCAAGAGCACAACAACAUCAAGAACUCCAGUUUUUCAGCUUUUCUUCCAAGUUCCGGUCCCGGUUUCAUUUGCAGCUCCAGUUUCGCGCUCGGUUCUCGGGGUUUCCCUGCAAUUUCCGCGAUUUCCUUCUUUAUUUCCCUUCGUUCCGUUUUCGCGUCGCGGUUUGUUAUUGUCAACUUUCGUUUUCGUGCGGUUUUUCGCGGCUUUCCUAACGGUCCAACGACGGGCGCAAAUGGAUAGUGAAACUGGCUUGGAUUUCCAAUAGCUUCUAAGUACUCAGCAUUUUCCGAGGGAAAACUACGAGAAAGGAAAUGGAUUAACAACCAAGCUUUCAAUCAAAGGAUUUGAGAACAACGGCGGUCACAACAACACAAAAUACUUUGGAAGCUCUUUAGACAACUGACAAAAAAAAAUCCCUUUCGGCCCAAAAUCAAAAUUGCAAACCAAACGAAGAAAAGGCGUAAAAUGAAUUAGGCUAAACAUACAACUUAUAUGAAAUAUAAAUAUUAUUACUAUUAAAGCCAAUAACAAGUAACGCGCUAAUGUUUAAUUAGUUGUUAAGUCCAGAACCCAAACAAACAAACAAACGG